rnacentral:rRNA from 1 species
GAUGAACGCUGGCGGCGUGCUUAACACAUGCAAGUCGAACGAUGAAGCUCAGCUUGCUGGGUGGAUUAGUGGCGAACGGGUGAGUAACACGUGAGUAACCUGCCCUUAACUCUGGGAUAAGCCUGGGAAACUAGGUCUAAUACCGGAUAGGAGCGCCUACCGCAUGGUGGGUGUUGGAAAGAUUUAUCGGUUUUGGAUGGACUCGCGGCCUAUCAGCUUGUUGGUGAGGUAAUGGCUCACCAAGGCGACGACGGGUAGCCGGCCUGAGAGGGCGACCGGCCACACUGGGACUGAGACACGGCCCAGACUCCUACGGGAGGCAGCAGUGGGGAAUAUUGCACAAUGGGCGAAAGCCUGAUGCAGCGACGCCGCGUGAGGGAUGACGGCCUUCGGGUUGUAAACCUCUUUCAGUAGGGAAGAAGCGAAAGUGACGGUACCUGCAGAAGAAGCACCGGCUAACUACGUG